CUUUUCCCGCCUAUAUACCACCGUCGCAAGCUUACCCUGUGAAGGACUAACAGUAAGCACAAUCGGCACAGCCCAGAACGUCAGGUCGAGGUGUAGUGCAUGGGAGGGGAAGAAAUGGGCUACAUUCGCUGCCUCCAGCGAACACGAAUGAUGCAUUGAAACAUGCAACUGAAGGAGGAUUUAGCAGUAAGCAGGAAGUAGAGCGUCCCGCUGAAGCCGGCUCUUAAGCGCGCACACACCGCCCGUCACCCUCUCCGAGCAGCUGGCCCUGAAUUUUUCUUAAACCAUUACAAUCGCGAAGGAGAGGAAAGUCGUAACAUGGUAAGCGUACCGGAAGGUGCGCUUGGUUAAAU
rnacentral:rRNA from 1 species